CAAGGAAUUUUGCACAAUGGGCGCAAGCCUGAUGCAGCAACGUCGCGUGGAGGAUGACGGCCUUCGGGUUGUAAACUCCUUUUGGGGGGGACGAUAAUGACGGUACCCUCCGAAGAAGCCCCGGCUAACUCCGUGCCAGCAGCCGCGGUAAUACGGAGGGGGCAAGCGUUGUCCGGACUUACUGGGCGUAAAGGGUGCGUAGGCGGUUGGGUGCGUUCGCCCUGAAAGCACCGGGCUCAACCCGGUGAGGCGGGCGAAUACGACCCGACUGGAGGCUCAGAGAGGGUGGCGGAACUCCUGGUGUAGUGGUGAUAUGCGUAGAGAUCAGGAAGAACACCCGUGGCGCAAGCGGCCACCUGGCUGAGUACUGACGCUGAGGCACGAAAGCGUGGGGAGCGAACCGG
rnacentral:rRNA from 1 species